rnacentral:rRNA from 1 species
GAUGAACGCUGGCGGCGUGCCUAAUACAUGCAAGUCGAGCGAACGGACGAGAAGCUUGCUUUUCUGAUGUUAGCGGCGGACGGGUGAGUAACACGUGGAUAACCUACCUAUAAGACUGGGAUAACUUCGGGAAACCGGAGCUAAUACCGGAUAAUAUUUUGAACCGCAUGGUUCAAAAGUGAAAGACGGUCUUGCUGUCACUUAUAGAUGGAUCCGCGCUGCAUUAGCUAGUUGGUAAGGUAACGGCUUACCAAGGCAACGAUGCAUAGCCGACCUGAGAGGGUGAUCGGCCACACUGGAACUGAGACACGGUCCAGUCUCCUACGGGAGGCAGCAGUAGGGAAUCUUCCGCAAUGGGCGAAAGCCUGACGGAGCAACGCCGCGUGAGUGAUGAAGGUCUUCGGAUCGUAAAACUCUGUUAUUAGGGAAGAACAUAUGUGUAAGUAACUGUGCACAUCUUGACGGUACCUAAUCAGAAAGCCACGGCUAACUACGUG